rnacentral:rRNA from 1 species
CUACGGGUCGCUGCAGUGGGGAAUAUUGCACAAUGGAGGAAACUCUGAUGCAGCAACGCCGCGUGGAGGAUGACACUUUUCGGAGCGUAAACUCCUUUUAUAUAGGAAGAAGAUGACGGUACUAUAUAAAUAAGCGCCGGCUAACUCCGUGCCAGCAGCCGCGGUAAUACGGAGGGCGCAAGCGUUACUCGGAAUCACUGGGCGUAAAGAGCGUGUAGGCGGAUUAAAAAGUCAGAAGUGAAAUCCUAUAGCUUAACUAUAGAACUGCUUCUGAAACUCUUAAUCUAGAAGAUGGGAGAGGUAGAUGGAAUUUCUGGUGUAGGGGUAAAAUCCGUAGAGAUCAGAAGGAAUACCGAUUGCGAAGGCGAUCUACUAGAACAUUAUUGACGCUGAGACGCGAAAGCGUGGGGAGCAAACAGGAUUAGAUACCCGCGUAGUC